GCAGUAUUUUUCAAUAAAUGAAGCUGCUACACCUGGUAUACACAUGCAAAAGUAUAAAGUUUGACCCCUAUCUCACACCAUAUAUAAAAUUAAUUCAAGUGGAUUAAAGACAUGAAUAUAACUGCUAAAACUAUUAAAUUCUUAGAUGAAAACAUAGGUGUAGUAAGUCUUCAUGUCUUUGAAUUAGAAAUGGUUUCUUAGAUAUGAUACUUCAGCACAAGCAUUUAUUUAGUGCAUAAUCAGCUUUAUUGAAGUGUAAUUUACAUACCAUAAGAGGUACUCAUUUAAAGUGUACAGUUCAAUUAGUUUUGAUAAAUGCACACAUCUGUGUCACCUCCUCAAUCAAGUUUUUCUGUAAUGUGUGAUGCUAUUUGAAAGCAUUUUACUCAGAGUAGAACUUCUUUCAAAAUUGGAGUCAGUACUCUCAAAUC
rnacentral:lncRNA from 1 species